UACGAAGGGGGCUAGCGUUGUUCGGAAUUACUGGGCGUAAAGCGCACGUAGGCGGACUACUAAGUCAGGGGUGAAAUCCCGGGGCUCAACCCCGGAACUGCCUUUGAUACUGAUAGUCUCGAGUCCGGAAGAGGUGAGUGGAAUUCCGAGUGUAGAGGUGAAAUUCGUAGAUAUUCGGAGGAACACCAGUGGCGAAGGCGGCUCACUGGUCCGGUACUGACGCUGAGGAGCGAAAGCGUGGGGAGCGAACAGG
rnacentral:rRNA from 1 species